rnacentral:lncRNA from 1 species
UUUUUCUCCUAUUAAUGUCUUGUGUUAAUUUUAUGAUUAGUCCAGCUGCAAGAACUCAAGAGGAGUAAGGGGAAAAUUUCUCCCUCCUCAUCAGUUUUUGAAAGAAAGCCAGUGGAAUCACUGCUUGGAAAACUUCUUUCCCCUGGGACUACUGAAGAGGAAGAGAUCCUGGGAUGUCUGAGAGAAGCUGGGAGAAGAAACGCCUUUUAUCAAAUACCUGAUUGCUUGUGCAAUGUAGUCCUAACUUUGGGAGCCCAUCUGCAUCAUUGCCUCCUAAAAUGAGUUCAACCCAGCUGACCUAUUCUCAGGACUAAGAAACUGGUUCGAUGAAAUAGUGGAGCAAUCUACCACCUCAAUUUCAACAUGUGAAACUUCCAAGGAAGUUCCAGAGGAGAGAACUAAUAGAGUUCAUGGAAGAAAAUAUUACAGGCUCGGAAAGAACAGAAUCAAAUAAGUCUAAAGGAAUUAGAGUAGCAACUUCAGAUUCUAGGGAACCUGCAAGAGCGCAGAGCUUCAUGACCUGCAAGUAUGUAUCACUGGAUGACGGGAGCCUCCAAUCAGAGCACUCCAAGCCCCAUCCCCCACUGGCUCAGUCAAUGAAGGACCUGCAGAACCUGACCCACAGUCAUUGGUUCAAAGCGGGAGCAAGUGACCCAGGGGUGAACCAAUUAGUGCCUUCCUUGGUGUUCAUCCUUGGAGACUCAGGAAGAAAUCGAUGUAUUUUUUUUUUUGUCUGUUUGUUCAGGGGUCUUAAAUCUCAAUCCCUGCUAAUAGUAAGUUUAUUUGGGAAGGAAAAAAUCUCUCUCUGGUUAGACAAGGAAGUGAUUCUAAUGACUAGAAGAGUAGCUCCACAUUAUAUAUUUAAGAAAUGCUGAGUAAAACCACUCUGGGCAAGCAAUUGUUUUUCCCAUCUCACAUCUGUACGAGUACUCACUUAACAGCUAAAUGUCUUUCACCCGCCACCAUGUACUUCUCAUAUGCUCCCACUCAGUUUAACACUUACAUUGCUC